GAGUGGUGCCUGAAGCUCACAUACCAAAAAUCCUGUUUGUCCUGCUUGUAGCGCCCCCUACAGGAUAAAAAAACAUCAGCCCCGGCGCCACGUUUCACCGACAUGUACGAAACUCAAUAGGCAUGUAUAAUGUGCCGGGGCGUACAAAAAAGCCUCUUGGACCCAUACCUCAAAUCCCACAGGAAGUCGGCUAUUUUCAUUUAAAAUUUGCACUUUUGGCGGCCAUUUUGUGGUCAUUUUGACUCUUUGGGCUUGUUUUAGAACUAACUGCUCCUAGGGAAUUUAUCAGAUCUGCUUCAAAAUUGGUCAGUACAGUCAAAACAUGGUGCUGAAUGAACGCAUUAUAUUUUGUGACUGUACGUUGAAGGGCGUGUCCGUGGCGUGCCCUCAAAGUUGGCCAUUUAGAACAAAUGUCACUGUGAUGUCAUUUUUGCAUUUCAGGGCUUCUAUUUGAAUGAUCCCCUCCUACAGCUUCUAUCGGAUCUUCUUCAAAAUUGGGCAGUCCAGUCACAACAUGGGGCUGAAUGAACGCAUUAUAUUUGGUGACUGUACGUUGAAGGGCGUGUCCGUGGCGUGCCCUCAAAGUUGGCCAUUUAGAACAAAUGUCACACUGUGAUGUCAUUUUGGCCUUUCAGGGCUUCUAUUUGAAUGAUUUCCUCUGACACGUUCUAACGGAUCUUCUUCAAAAUUGGGCAGUACAGUCACAACAUGGUGCUGAAUGAACGCAUUUCAUUUUGUGACUGUACGUUGAAGGGCGUGUCCGUGGCGUGCCGUCAAAGUUGGCCAUUUUGAAGCCCGUGGUCCUGUAUUUGAACAAACAAACUCCUUGAGACUUUAUCAGAUCUGCUUCAAAACUUGACAGUACUCUUGAAUAAUCUUGCUGAUUACAAGUUGUGCUAUUUAUGACUGUACGUUGAAGGGCGUGUCCCAGGUGUCUCGUCAAAGUUGGACAUUUUGAAUUCUGUGGUCUUUUUUUCAAAGUGAUGAAACACAAACACCCCUCCGCUCCCACUAGCCACAUCUACAAACCAUAUUUCCUAGGGAGUAUUGUUCGUGGAGCAUAGUGUGAAACCGCUGGAAGUCACUUAUUAAAUUGCAAGAUAAAUAGGGGACUUAUCAAAUCGACUUCAAAAUUGGACAGUCUUAUAAAAACAAAGUGUACAUGAAGAAUUGAGCUAUUUGUGACUGUACGUCAAACUGCGUGCCACUGACCCCUUGUCGAAUUCAGAUGAUUUUCCAUUAAGCGGUACUCAUAACUUCAGUGUGCAAUGUCCAAUUUCCAAUAAACUUCAUAUAUUCUGUAA